ensembl:lncRNA
GUCAUCAUAACGAACUCGGUUAUUGGUGCCGUGUUGGUUAAUUGCUGUAUUAUUCCGUGUUGUGAUUAAAACGACAUUUGGAGGUGGGGCUUUCUUGCAUUCUGGUGGGUUUUGGAAAUGUUCUGGCUGGAAACCAUAGACGCAAUCUGGCAACCCUGCCCCUGAUUGCCCCUCAUUGGCUCAGGCGUGUACAUGGCGAAGAUGUGAACGCUCGCUGAGCAGCACACAUGGGCUGAGGCAUCGGGCUGGAGCGUGGAGAGGCGCACAGCGGGGCUGUGUUUUGCUUUGGGGGAAAAGAUCAGACUAGGACCAGGACCUGAUCAUCAUAAUCAUCAUCAUGAUCAUGCUGCCUUGAACCCUCGAACCAGCGUCUGGUCUCGAACCGCCUCCUCCUCCUCCUGCUUCCCUCCUCCCCUCUCUUCUCCUCCUCUCUUCUCCGCUCUUCUCCACGGCGCUUUUCUGAAGAGCACUCGCUGCUCAGUCUCAGUCUUGUCGCGGAGAUGAGCGCGCGGCCGCAAGUUCCCCCGCUCAUCAUCAUGUAAGUUAAGGGGGGAGGUCGAUUGAUGUGGCGGGCCAAAGAAGAAGGAGCUCGAGCAGCAAAUCGAGGAGCCUCGGCCAAAAGCAAACCCUGCGAAUCGGAUUUGAAAACGGAGGUCCUGCUCAGACCCCAGCCCCCUGAUCUGGACCUGGAUCUCGGAAUGGUGUGUCAGGACCCCACUGGGUUCGGAAAUGCACCAUGUUUAUGCGAGCAAUGAGCCUGACAGACAUGUCUGGUUUCUCCUUUCCCAACGUGAUGCAGUUGGCCUUGCCGGCUCGGAGCACAGAUAAUCUGGACAGUUCCGGGGAGCCCGCCACCCGCUCAGUUGGCACCACUGCCAACUUGAAGGGGAAGAUGAGCAAGAGGCUGUCUGUUGUCAAAGGCCACUUCCCAAAGCUUGUAGACUGUGCCCACUUUCACUAUGAGAAUGUGGACUUUGGUUCCAUUGAGCUGCAGUUUGCUAGCGAGCAGAGCGAUGCUAGCUGGAGCUCAGCCAGUGCCAAAGACCUGGUCUUCCUUGUGCAGGUCUCCUGCCAGGGUAAGACGUGGAUGGUGCGCCGCUCAUAUGAAGAGUUCCGGACACUGGAUGCUCAUCUGCACCAGUGCAUCUAUGACCGGCGUUACUCCCAGCUACUGCCCCUGCCCGCACUCGCUGAGAUUGGGGACAGAAUCUUCACCCCUAUGCUCUCUGAGUACCUGAACCGUCUCUCCAUGAUCGUGGACAGUAAGCUGAACUGUGGGCCUGUGCUCACCUGGAUGGAGAUUGACAAUCACGGCAACCGGUUUCUGCUGAAAGAAGAGGCGUCUUUAAAUGUCCCUGCGAUUGCGGCAGCUCAUGUGAUCAAGCGAUACACUGCCCAAGCCAGUGACGAGAUCUCCAUUGAGGUUGGCGAUAUUUUGUCAGUGAUUGAUAUGCCACCCAAAGAGGAGACCACCUGGUGGAGAGGAAAGCAUGGCUUCCAGGUUGGCUUCUUCCCCAGUGAGUGUGUAGAGCUGAUCAGUGAGAAGGUACCCCAAACCACUUGUUUUCUGCCCAUUUGCCAGUUUGUCACAUUAGCUCUCUUGCGCCCCCUUUUGUCAGUGUCCAAGAAACACGGCAAGCUGAUGGGUUUCUUGCGCACCUUUAUGAAGUCCAGACCCAGCAAGCAGAAACUGAAGCAGCGGGGCAUCCUGAAGGAGCGGGUCUUCGGCUGCGACCUGGGAGAACACCUCCUCAACUCCGGGCAAGACGUUCCCCAGGUAUUAAAGAGCUGCUCUGAGUUCAUAGAGAUGCACGGCGUUGUGGACGGCAUCUACAGACAUUCUGGAGUUUCCUCCAACAUCCAGAAGCUCAGGCACGAGUUUGACAGCGAGAAUGUUCCGGACCUAACUAAAGACGUGUACAUGCAGGACAUUCACUGUGUCGGCUCUCUCUGCAAGCUGUACUUCAGAGAGCUGCCCAAUCCGCUCCUCACGUACCAGCUCUAUGACAAGUUUGCUGACUGUAUGGGGGAGAUGACUGAGGAUGAGCGCAUGGUGAAAGUGCAUGAUGUCAUCCAGCAGCUACCUCCUCCCCACUACAGGACGCUGGAGUACCUCAUGAGACAUCUAGCCUUGCUGGCCACCAAGAGUGAGAAGACCAACAUGCAUGUUAAAAAUUUGGCCAUUGUCUGGGCCCCAAACCUGCUCAGGUCUAAGGAAAUCGAGGCAGUGGGGCUCAGUGGAGCUGACCCAUUUAAGGAGGUGCGCAUCCAGUCUGUGGUGGUGGAGUUCCUGCUCACCAAUGUGGAUGUGUUGUUCAGCGACUCUUUCACGUCAGUGGGCCGUUUCAGCUUGUUGUCAUCACUUUUUCGUCUUUUCCCUGCCGUCCCCAGCACCAAACAAACAUCUGUUGCUCAGUAUCUGCUUAAAUGCUUACGGUUGUUGUGUUUGCAGUACUUUGUUCAAAAUGAGAUUACAGUCUGUCUUUAUGUCUUGCUGAUGUUUGCCUGA